AUUGAACGCUGGCGGCAGGCCUAACACAUGCAAGUCGAACGGUAGCACAGAGAGCUUGCUCUCGGGUGACGAGUGGCAGACGGGUGAGUAAUGUCUGGGAAACUGCCCGAUGGAGGGGGAUAACUACUGGAAACGGUAGCUAAUACCGCAUAACGUCGCAAGACCAAAGUGGGGGACCUUCGGGCCUCACACCAUCGGAUGUGCCCAGAUGGGAUUAGCUAGUAGGUGGGGUAAUGGCUCACCUAGGCGACGAUCCCUAGCUGGUCUGAGAGGAUGACCAGCCACACUGGAACGGGGACACGGUCCAGACUCCUACGGGAGGCAGCAGGGGGGAAUAUUGCACAAUGGGCGCAAGCCUGAUGCAGCCAUGCCGCGUGUAUGAAGAAGGCCUUCGGGUUGUAAAGUACUUUCAGCGGGGAGGAAGGCGGUGAAGUUAAUAGCUUCACCGAUUGACGUUACCCGCAGAAGAAGCACCGGCUAACUCCGUGCCAGCCGCCGCCGUAA
rnacentral:rRNA from 1 species